CCUACGGGAGGCUGCAGUGAGGAAUAUUGGUCAAUGGACGAGAGUCUGAACCAGCCAAGUAGCGUGAAGGAUGACUGCUCUAUGGGUUGUAAACUUCUUUUAUAUGGGAAUAAAAUGUUCCAUGUGUGGGAUUUUGUAUGUACCAUAUGAAUAAGGAUCGGCUAACACCGUGCCAGCAGCCGCGGUAAUACGGAGGCUCCGAGCGUUAUCCGGAUUUAUUGGGUUUAAAGGGAGCGUAGGUGGAUUAGUAAGUCAGUUGUGAAAGUUUGCGGCUCAACCGUAAAAUUGCAGUUGAAACUGGCAGUCUAGAGUACGGUAGAGGUAGGCGGAAUUCGUGGUGUAGCGGUAAAAUGCGUAGAUAUCACGAAGAAUUCCGAUUGCGAAGGCAGUUCGCUAGACUGCAACUGACGCUGAGGCUCGAAAGUGUGGGUAUCAAACAGGAUUAGAUACCCUUGUAGUC
rnacentral:rRNA from 1 species